UGGGGAAUAUUGGACAAUGGGCGAAAGCUGAUCCAGCCAUGCCGCGUGUGUGAAGAAGGUCUUCGGAUUGUAAAGCACUUUAAGUUGGGAGGAAGGGCAGUUACCUAAUACGUAUCUGUUUUGACGUUACCGACAGAAUAAGCACCGGCUAACUCUGUG
rnacentral:rRNA from 1 species